rnacentral:sRNA from 1 species
CCCAAACAGGCACUAUUUAUAUAAUUAAUAGUAAAGUUUAUAUAACAUAAUUUAUUGCGCGAUCAUGUUACAAUUAUGGAUUAAUCUUCAGCUUAGGACAGAUAUGUUAUCAAAAUAACAGUUUUUAUAAUAAUACCCAGAAUUAAACCUAUCAGUCAAAAUGAAGUUCUUGAAACAACUUUUAGUACUUGAAUGGAAAAUUUAUUUUGUAAUUUGUUGUUGACUUGUCUUUAUUAACAUCUAACUAUAGUGAAUCCAAAAGGAGAUUGGUUUGUCAGUUAUUUGGUUCGUCCCAAUGAAUAAUUGUCUUGUUCUUGUACAUAAAGUUACUGUAUCAUAUUCUUCUUUUUUGUACCAAAUAUUACAGUACUGUCUUACUAAGGAAAAAAGACAAAACUAUGAAUAAAUAUCACAUUU